GUCCUGAUGGUGUAGUGAUUAACACAACAUGACGUUGUUAUUUCUUGUAGAGAAUCAAGCAAUUAUAUUAUGUAGACAGGGGUUCGAUUCCUCUUCAGGACU